rnacentral:rRNA from 1 species
UACGGGGGGGGCAAGCGUUGUUCGGAAUUACUGGGCGUAAAGGGCUCGUAGGCGGCCAACUAAGUCAGACGUGAAAUCCCUCGGCUUAACCGAGGAACUGCGUCUGAUACUGGAUGGCUUGAGUUCGGGAGAGGGAUGCGGAAUUCCAGGUGUAGCGGUGAAAUGCGUAGAUAUCUGGAGGAACACCGGUGGCGAAGGCGGCAUCCUGGACCGAGACUGACACUGAGGAGCGAAAGCCAGGGGAGCAAACGGG